rnacentral:piRNA from 1 species
UAAGAUGGGUAAACAACUAAA